UACGUAGGGUGCGAGCGUUGUCCGGAAUUAUUGGGCGUAAAGGGCUCGUAGGCGGUUUGUCGCGUCGGGAGUGAAAACCAGGUGCUUAACACCUGGCUUGCUUUCGAUACGGGCAGACUAGAGGUAUUCAGGGGAGAACGGAAUUCCUGGCGUAGCGGUGAAAUGCGCAGAUAUCAGGAGGAACACCGGUGGCGAAGGCGGUUCUCUGGGAAUGACCUGACGCUGAGGAGCGAAAGUGUGGGGAGCGAACAGG
rnacentral:rRNA from 1 species